rnacentral:rRNA from 1 species
AUUGAACGCUGGCGGCAGGCCUAACACAUGCAAGUCGAGCGAGCGGCGGACGGGUGAGUAAUGUCUGGGGACUGCCCGAUAGAGGGGGAUAACUACUGGACACGGUGGCUAAUACCGCAUACUAUCGGAUAACCCAUAUGGGAUUAGCUAGUAGGUGGGGUAAAGGCUGACCUAGGCGACGAUCUCUAGCUGGUCUGCGAGGAUGAUCAGCCACACAGGGACUGAGACACAGACCAGACUCCUGCGGAGACAGUAGUGGGGAAUAUUGCACAAAGGGCACAAGCCUGAUGCAGCCAUGCCGCGUGUAUGAAGAAGGCCUUAGGGUUAUAGAGUACUUUCAGCGGGGAGGCGUUGCCCGCAGAAGAAGCACCGGCUAACUCCGUGCCAGCAGCCGCGGUAAUUC